rnacentral:tRNA from 1 species
UGUGGCUCAGAGGUAGAGUGCUCACCUAGCACGUGUGAGGGCUUGAGUUCGAUCCUCAGCA